rnacentral:rRNA from 1 species
GAUGAACGCUGGCGGCGUGCCUAAUACAUGCAAGUCGAGCGAACGGACGAGAAGCUUGCUUCUCUGAUGUUAGCGGCGGACGGGUGAGUAACACGUGGAUAACCUACCUAUAAGACUGGGAUAACUUCGGGAAACCGGAGCUAAUACCGGAUGAUAUUUUGAACCGCAUGGUUCAAAAGUGAAAGACGGUCUUGCUGUCACUUAUAGAUGGAUCCGCGCUGCAUUAGCUAGUUGGUAAGGUAACGGCUUACCAAGGCAACGAUGCAUAGCCGACCUGAGAGGGUGAUCGGCCACCCGGGAACUGAGACACGGUCCAGACUCCAACGGGAGGCAGCAGUAGGAAAUCUUCCGCAAGGGGCAAAAGCCUGACGGAGCAACGCCGCGUGAGUAAUGAAGGUCUUCGGAUCGUAAAACUCUGUUAUUAGGGAAGAACAUAUGUGUAAGUAACUGUGCACAUCUUGACGGUACCUAAUCAGAAAGCCACGGCUAACUACGG